GGGUCAGUAGGUUGGUCGUGCCACCGGUACGUACUGGUCCCACUGAUUCCUCCUUCCUGAAGAACCGUAAUGCCAUUAAUUUGGUGUUGCGGGGAAACAGGACUGUUACUUUGAAAAAAUUAGAGUGUUUAAAGCAAGCUAACGCCUGAAUACAUUAGCAUGGAAUAAUGAAAUAGGACGAUCGAUCCUAUUUUGUUGGUUUCUAGGAUUGACGUA
rnacentral:rRNA from 1 species